rnacentral:tRNA from 2 species
GGGCCUGUAGCUCAGAUGGGAGAGCGCUGCGUUCGCAACGCAGAGGUCAGGGGUUCGAUCCCCCUCAGGUCCACCA